UAUGGCAGACUAGUGCACUGGGCUUAAACCCCUUUUAUAAAGAAAUUUAUCUUUUAUUAAAA
rnacentral:tRNA from 1 species